CGGUGCGGUAGAGCGCGGCCGUCAGCGCCACGUGCUUGUUGAGCACGUCCCACUUGGUGCCGAGUUCGUAGGUCUUGGCCUUCUGC
rnacentral:tRNA from 1 species